rnacentral:misc_RNA from 1 species
UUCUUAGGAGUUAUAAUAGUUAACCAAAUAAAAUUUAUUUGGAGGAAAGUCCGGGGCUUAUUAUUUAAUAAAUUAAAUAACCACAAUGUAAAAUAUCUAAUGAAAAUUAGGGUAAUUAAAAGAAAUAUUUUGGGCCCCAUAAUUAUAAUUUUUUUAAUUUUAGAUAACUGUAUUUAUCGUCGUCUUUUAUUUUAAAAAUGAUAAAUAUGGACCGGCUAUAUCAACCAAAAUUUAAAAUUUUUUAAAUUAUAAUUUUAAGUGAGUAAGUAGUAAUACUUGACUUUGAGUACAUUAUCUACUAACAAAUUUAUUUUUAAUAAUAUUUUUAAAAAAUUUUUAAAUAAAAUUUAUAAUUGAUCAAAAAUAGACAAUUUAAAUUUAAAAUCUCAAAAAAGUAAAUUUACAAUAAAAAGUACUAGAGCAUAGCUUUUAUUUAUAGGAUCUUUCGGCUCUAAAUAUUUUUAACUUUUUUAAUAGAUUGACUCUAAAAAAUACUUUUUUUAAGAUUUUACAAAAGUGUUGGCCGUGUAAUAUUUAAUGCAGAGGGCCUUUGGUCUUAUGCUAAAAUUUAUGAUAGAAUAAUUUAACCUGUGGUAAGCCUAAGCUAAAAAUUUUUAACUAAAAAUAAAUAUUUCGUCAAGGGCGGCUAUGCCGCCCUUAACCUCGCCAGGCUACAAGUAGCCCGGCGAGGGUUUAAUUUUAGUUGAAGAUCUAAAGCGCUUUAAUCCUUAGUAAGGAUAGCUUUUUAUUCAAUAAAUAAAUUUAUUGAGUAUAGAUAUAUUAACUUAAUAACAGAAUUCGGCUUAUUUAACUCUAAGAA